UCAGAACAAGUAUAACUCGUAUCAAGGUGUCGAUAGAUGAACCUGGAGAAUGAUCACGAGCGCGUGUGACAUCGAGAGCUGUUGCUGGUGCGGAACGCACAUCGUGCACGGCUCCCGUGCUCAAUCCAUUUCAACCCCCUUGUGCACCUUAUCGAAGUCAGUAGUCUUUCUCUUUUUGUUUGACCGGUUGUGUGCGGGAACCUCUUUCUGUUCGACUUGGCCGGCGAGGAGAAAUAGAGGGUCGAAAGCUUUGACUUUUCUGUUAAACACUUUGUAUGUCUUGUGGAACGUAUUAGCUCCUUUGUAGGGGCGAAAUAAAUACAACUUUCAACAACGGAUCUCUUGGCUCUCGCAUCGAUGAAGAACGCAGCGAAAUGCGAUAAGUAAUGUGAAUUGCAGAAUUCAGUGAAUCAUCGAAUCUUUGAACGCACCUUGCGCCCCUUGGUAUUCCGAGGGGCAUGCCUGUUUGAGUGUCAUGUUAAUCUCAAACCCCUUGUCUUUUUUGUUGACUUGGUCGGUUUGGACUUGGAGGUGUUGCUGGCGUGCGUCGGCUCCUCUUAAUUGCAUUAGCUGGACUUUGGUUCGCAUUUGACGGUGUAAUAGUAAAGUGUUCGCCGGGCGUGCUUGCCUAACGGGUCUGCUUCUAAUCGUCUUCGGACAACUCUGUUCAUUUGACCUUGACCUCAAAGCCCGUAGGACUACACGCUGAUCUUACUCCUAUCUGAAAUCGGACGAAAAGAUACUAGCAGGGAUUCACAUAGUAACUGCGACCGCAACGAACUGAGAUCGAAUUUGGAAUCUGGCAGAUUUAGAAUGUGGCAGCUGUCGUCUGUAGAAGCUGUUUUCGCGCUAGACAGUGUACGCG
rnacentral:rRNA from 1 species